rnacentral:rRNA from 1 species
GGGUUGUGAGGUUAAGCGACUAAGCGUACACGGUGGAUGCCCUGGCAGUCAGAGGCGAUGAAGGACGUGCUAAUCUGCGAUAAGCGUCGGUAAGGUGAUAUGAACCGUUAUAACCGGCGAUUUCCGAAUGGGGAAACCCAGUGUGAUUCGUCACACUAUCAUUAACUGAAUCCAUAGGUUAAUGAGGCGAACCGGGGGAACUGAAACAUCUAAGUACCCCGAGGAAAAGAAAUCAACCGAGAUUCCCCCAGUAGCGGCGAGCGAACGGGGAGGAGCCCAGAGCCUGAAUCAGUGUGUGUGUUAGUGGAAGCGUCUGGAAAGGCGCGCGAUACAGGGUGACAGCCCCGUACACAAAAAUGCACAUGCUGUGAGCUCGAUGAGUAGGGCGGGACACGUGGUAUCCUGUCUGAAUAUGGGGGGACCAUCCUCCAAGGCUAAAUACUCCUGACUGACCGAUAGUGAACCAGUACCGUGAGGGAAAGGCGAAAAGAACCCCGGCGAGGGGAGUGAAAAAGAACCUGAAACCGUGUACGUACAAGCAGUGGGAGCACGCUUCGGCGUGUGACUGCGUACCUUUUGUAUAAUGGGUCAGCGACUUAUAUUCUGUAGCAAGGUUAACCGAAUAGGGGAGCCGAAGGGAAACCGAGUCUUAACUGGGCGUUAAGUUGCAGGGUAUAGACCCGAAACCCGGUGAUCUAGCCAUGGGCAGGUUGAAGGUUGGGUAACACUAACUGGAGGACCGAACCGACUAAUGUUGAAAAAUUAGCGGAUGACUUGUGGCUGGGGGUGAAAGGCCAAUCAAACCGGGAGAUAGCUGGUUCUCCCCGAAAGCUAUUUAGGUAGCGCCUCGUGAAUUCAUCUCCGGGGGUAGAGCACUGUUUCGGCAAGGGGGUCAUCCCGACUUACCAACCCGAUGCAAACUGCGAAUACCGGAGAAUGUUAUCACGGGAGACACACGGCGGGUGCUAACGUCCGUCGUGAAGAGGGAAACAACCCAGACCGCCAGCUAAGGUCCCAAAGUCAUGGUUAAGUGGGAAACGAUGUGGGAAGGCCCAGACAGCCAGGAUGUUGGCUUAGAAGCAGCCAUCAUUUAAAGAAAGCGUAAUAGCUCACUGGUCGAGUCGGCCUGCGCGGAAGAUGUAACGGGGCUAAACCAUGCACCGAAGCUGCGGCAGCGACGCUGAUGCGUUGUUGGGUAGGGGAGCGUUCUGUAAGCCUGCGAAGGUGUGCUGUGAGGCAUGCUGGAGGUAUCAGAAGUGCGAAUGCUGACAUAAGUAACGAUAAAGCGGGUGAAAAGCCCGCUCGCCGGAAGACCAAGGGUUCCUGUCCAACGUUAAUCGGGGCAGGGUGAGUCGACCCCUAAGGCGAGGCCGAAAGGCGUAGUCGAUGGGAAACAGGUUAAUAUUCCUGUACUUGGUGUUACUGCGAAGGGGGGACGGAGAAGGCUAUGUUGGCCGGGCGACGGUUGUCCCGGUUUAAGCGUGUAGGCUGGUUUUCCAGGCAAAUCCGGAAAAUCAAGGCUGAGGCGUGAUGACGAGGCACUACGGUGCUGAAGCAACAAAUGCCCUGCUUCCAGGAAAAGCCUCUAAGCAUCAGGUAACAUCAAAUCGUACCCCAAACCGACACAGGUGGUCAGGUAGAGAAUACCAAGGCGCUUGAGAGAACUCGGGUGAAGGAACUAGGCAAAAUGGUGCCGUAACUUCGGGAGAAGGCACGCUGAUAUGUAGGUGAAGUCCCUCGCGGAUGGAGCUGAAAUCAGUCGAAGAUACCAGCUGGCUGCAACUGUUUAUUAAAAACACAGCACUGUGCAAACACGAAAGUGGACGUAUACGGUGUGACGCCUGCCCGGUGCCGGAAGGUUAAUUGAUGGGGUCAGCGCAAGCGAAGCUCUUGAUCGAAGCCCCGGUAAACGGCGGCCGUAACUAUAACGGUCCUAAGGUAGCGAAAUUCCUUGUCGGGUAAGUUCCGACCUGCACGAAUGGCGUAAUGAUGGCCAGGCUGUCUCCACCCGAGACUCAGUGAAAUUGAACUCGCUGUGAAGAUGCAGUGUACCCGCGGCAAGACGGAAAGACCCCGUGAACCUUUACUAUAGCUUGACACUGAACAUUGAGCCUUGAUGUGUAGGAUAGGUGGGAGGCUUUGAAGUGUGGACGCCAGUCUGCAUGGAGCCGACCUUGAAAUACCACCCUUUAAUGUUUGAUGUUCUAACGUUGACCCGUAAUCCGGGUUGCGGACAGUGUCUGGUGGGUAGUUUGACUGGGGCGGUCUCCUCCUAAAGAGUAACGGAGGAGCACGAAGGUUGGCUAAUCCUGGUCGGACAUCAGGAGGUUAGUGCAAUGGCAUAAGCCAGCUUGACUGCGAGCGUGACGGCGCGAGCAGGUGCGAAAGCAGGUCAUAGUGAUCCGGUGGUUCUGAAUGGAAGGGCCAUCGCUCAACGGAUAAAAGGUACUCCGGGGAUAACAGGCUGAUACCGCCCAAGAGUUCAUAUCGACGGCGGUGUUUGGCACCUCGAUGUCGGCUCAUCACAUCCUGGGGCUGAAGUAGGUCCCAAGGGUAUGGCUGUUCGCCAUUUAAAGUGGUACGCGAGCUGGGUUUAGAACGUCGUGAGACAGUUCGGUCCCUAUCUGCCGUGGGCGCUGGAGAACUGAGGGGGGCUGCUCCUAGUACGAGAGGACCGGAGUGGACGCAUCACUGGUGUUCGGGUUGUCAUGCCAAUGGCACUGCCCGGUAGCUAAAUGCGGAAGAGAUAAGUGCUGAAAGCAUCUAAGCACGAAACUUGCCCCGAGAUGAGUUCUCCCUGACCCUUUAAGGGUCCUGAAGGAACGUUGAAGACGACGACGUUGAUAGGCCGGGUGUGUAAGCGCAGCGAUGCGUUGAGCUAACCGGUACUAAUGAACCGUGAGGCUUAACCUUACAACGCCGAAGCUGUU